rnacentral:rRNA from 1 species
GACGAACGCUGGCGGCGUGCUUAACACAUGCAAGUCGAACGGUAAGGCCCUUCGGGUACACGAGUGGCGAACGGGUGAGUAACACGUGGGUGAUCUGCCCUGCACUUCGGGAUAAGCCUGGGAAACUGGGUCUAAUACCGGAUAGGACUCCGGACUGCAUGGUCUGGGGUGGAAAGCUUUUGCGGUGUGGGAUGGGCCCGCGGCCUAUAAGCUUGUUGGUGGGGGGAUGGCCUACAAAGGCGACGACGGGUAGCCGGCCUGAGAGGGUGACCGGCCACACUGGGACUGAGAUACGGCCCAGACUCCUACGGGAGGCAGCAGUGGGGAAUAUUGCACAAUGGGCGCAAGCCUGAUGCAGCGACGCCGCGUGAGGGAUGACGGCCUUCGGGUUGUAAACCUCUUUCAGCAUCGACGAAGCGAAAGUGACGGUAGGUGCAGAAGAAGGACCGGCCAACUACGUGCCAGCCGCCGCAGUAA